CGUGUCUCUAGUGCCAGCAGCCGCGGUAAUACGUAGGUGGCGAGCGUUAUCCGGAUUUAUUGGGCGUAAAGCGUCCGCAGCCGGCUUAUUAAGUCUAGAAUAAAAGCCUGGAGCUUAACUCCAGUUCGUUCUAGAAACCGGUAGGCUUGAGUGUGGUAGAGGCAAGUGGAAUUUCUAGUGUAGCGGUAGAAUGCGUAGAUAUUAGAAGGAACACCAGUGGCGAAGGCGACUUGCUGGGCCAUUACUGACGGUCAGGGACGAAAGCGUGGGGAGCAAAUAGGAUUAGAUACCCUAGUAGUCCACGCCGUAAACGAUGAGUACUAAGUGUCGGGUUACCGGUGCUGAAGUUAACACAUUAAGUACUCCGCCUGAGUAGUACGGUCGCAAGGCUGAAACUUAAAUGAAUUGGCGGG
rnacentral:rRNA from 1 species